GCCGAGGUGGUGAAAUUGGCAGACGCAGAGGACUCAAAAUCCUCCGGACUUCGGUCCUUGCGGGUUCGACUCCCGCCCUCGGUA
rnacentral:tRNA from 2 species